rnacentral:rRNA from 1 species
UACAGAGGUCCCAAGCGUUUGUUCGGAUUCAUUGGGCGUAAAGGGUGCGUAGGUGGCGCCGUAAGUGGGGUGUGAAAUUUCGGAGCUUAACUCCGAAACUGCAUUCCAUACUGCGGUGCUUGAGGACUGGAGAGGAGACUGGAAUUCCUGGUGUAGCGGUGGAAUGCGCAGAUAUCAGGAGGAACACCGGUGGCGAAGGCGGUUGCCUGGGGGCUUUGCUGACGCUGAUGCGCGAAAGCGUGGGGAGCGAUCCGG